AGGGCUAUAGCUCAGUUAGGUAGAGCACCUCGUUUACACACCGGGAAGGUCUACGGUUCGAGUCCGUAUAGCCCUA
rnacentral:tRNA from 3 species